CUCCUGACCUCGAAAGAGGCUGAUUUCUCCACAUGACAGCUGAGGUCGUGGGGGCAUGGUGGGAAGCUCACCCUGCUGGCUCCAGCUCUGCCUCUAGCCUAUGGAUAAGUAAAGAAUUACUGCUUUACUACUUUAGGUAGUCCAUUAACCUUCACAAGGCUGAACUUUAAUUCAAAUAAUUGCAAAAUAAGUAUAGGUGGUGAAACCUGAACAGAAUCACUGCUAUUUCUAUGGCCUUUGGAAAGUUUAGGGACCCAACCCUUAGCGUGGAUCCACUGGUAUUUUAAACAGUGAGGUAUCUUUCUUAGCUUCUUGCUGUAAUUAAAAAAAGUUAAAGCCCAGAAUUACCAGCAAAACCAGAAAAUCAUUCAGUGACUGGCAGCCAAUGAAUGGAUGGUCCUUCAUUGGUGGUGGGGCUUUGUGUUCCCUGGGGAGGUUACCUUCUCUUUUUAACUUCUUGCUUUAUGAUGAGUUCUUUUAGCUAUAAAUUCAUUCCACAGGGUCCAUUAGAAUUACCCACCAUGUGUCAGCUUUGAUAGACCUCACCCAGGAACAAUCAUAAAGAGAGAAGUGUGGCAAGCUCCUGCUUCAUAUCCCAGUAACCCACAGCCUGCCUCUGUGCACAUGACUCCCACAGACACAGUAAAACCUGAUUUAAGUGCCAGCAGAGAGAGACUGCUUGAAGCGGAACUUGGCACCAUGUUUCUUGGCCUCUCCAAAUCUGGAUUACAAUAGAUACCAUAAAUACAUAGAUUAAAUGCUUUCAUCUGAAAGCCCUGAUAAAUGGACUGCACCAUAUGCUGAGAUGGGAUUCUUGACAACAUCAGAUAAUCUCUUCAAAACUCCUUUGGAAAAGCAACCCAUAUAUAUAUGGGAGAGGGACCAGGCUAGUCUGCAGUGAAAGAGGGGGAGCUGAUACUUUCUUCUCACGUGGAAGUGCUGCUAUAUACACUCUUCUGUGAUGCUGUGCCAGACAC